rnacentral:rRNA from 1 species
AGCGAACGCUGGCGGCAGGCCUAAUACAUGCAAGUCGAACGCCCCUUCGGGGGAGUGGCGGACGGGUGAGUAACGCGUGGGAAUAUGCCCUGUGGUGCGGAACAAACGAGGGAAACUUCAGCUAAUACCGCAUGUGCCCUACGGGGGAAAGAUUUAUCGCCAUAGGAGUAGCCCGCGUUGGAUUAGCUAGUUGGUGGGGUAAUGGCUCACCAAGGCGACGAUCCAUAGCUGGUCUGAGAGGAUGAUCAGCCACACUGGGACUGAGACACGGCCCAGACUCCUACGGGAGGCAGCAGUAGGGAAUCUUGCGCAAUGGGCGAAAGCCUGACGCAGCCAUGCCGCGUGAAUGAUGAAGGUCUUAGGAUUGUAAAAUUCUUUCACCGGGGACGAUAAUGACGGUACCCGGAGAAGAAGCUCCGGCUAACUUCGUGCCAGCCGCCGCAGUGAGAC